UCUUGUUUCUAAUUCAAAUAAAAAAAUCUGAAAAGAAAAAAAAAGAUUCCUAAUUAAGGGAGAAAAAAAUCAAAGAUAUUCCCUGACUACUGUUGAGAAAGUUAAGAGAACCAUCUAAAAACACUUCUAGUAUGAGAUGCCUAAGUGCCAAAGUCCUUAUAAGUUAGCAUUUUAUUUUUCAAGAGCAGAAAACUCAAUAUGAAAUUUUAUCCCAAUAAAUUCAUUCCAAUAUAUCUUUAGAUAUUAUGGAUUUAAGUUUAGAGUUUCAUUGAAAAUUUUAUGAUGCAAAGUAAAUUUUCUUUUCUCCUCCGUGCAUGCUUGAGUUAGAUGCUGAAAAACUAGAUGAGGGAGGACAGUCACUCACAAGCUCACAAAAUGUUGAGUAUAUUCAUAUCAAUAAGGAAUCCUUUCCUUAAUAAUGUCAUUACUAAUGCUAGGUGAAAUAACAUGUCACUUUAUUUCGAGAAAAAAAUGACCAAUAAUGGAUACACAAGGCAUUUUUAGGUAAGACUCUUCCCUGAAAAACAAAUCAAGACAUUUCAGCUUGUAACAAUUUAUAUUGUUGGGGAAAAGUCAUACUGUAUGUGGAUUAUCUAUUAUAUACAUAUAUCUAGCACUUGCCCUCCUCUCUUCGACUCCUGGUGACCUGCUCUUUUCUUCCUGGCUUCAGGCAUGAACAUACCAAGAUUUACACUGUCACAGCACCCUACCCUUGUGGUCACAGUGUUAGUUAUGGAUUAAGAUAAUCAGAAUCUUAGAUUCAGUCCUGCCAAGAAGACAGGAGAGUAAGUGUGAAGUGAUUUAUUACGAAAUGUGCCCAAGAAAAAUAAUGUAGCUGAAAGCUGAGGAGGAAGCCAGGCAAUUGAUACAGAGAAGGAGAGUCAUGCAAGGGUCCAGUGGGAGGGAGUGUCCUGUGAAGGGACAUUUGAUGGUAGUCUUCCCACCCACCCAUGGUACAAAGGCUCGCUGGAAGUGCUGGAAGUUGUACCAUGGCUAUACUUUAUUGCAGCAGCUGAAUACCCAAUGAAAUCAGAAAAAAGAGCACAUGGGAUGAUGCUAAAAGAAAAAGUGAGUUGUAUGAUUUUAUGGCUUAUCUCUCAGAGGACAUGUGACAAAUUAUGGAUGUUGCCAAAUAAGAAAACUCAGUGGGUCUAGUCAUGUGGGCAGUUUCUGCCCAGCACAUAGUCAAAUUCCAAAUGCCCUAGGAAAGCUGGUAUCCAUCAUCAACCACGUGAUUUGUGCUAAAGGAUUAGGAAGAGUGACUUUAAUCAGAGGAUGCUGCACUAUCUACUGAUUUCCACAUCCUCAAAUGCCAACCUAUGACCACCGAGGCUUGAGUAGUCCUCCCUAAAGCUUGCAAUUUCCUCUAGCUACAUUUGCUCUUUGCUGAAAAGAUGCUCUGGGCUCCUUCCCAUAGGAGGGUUCUGAAUGCUGUGCAGACUACAAUUCAUUUUUGAGCAAGGCAGCUAAGAUUCUAUUUCCACACCUGUCUGUCAUUGUUUAAAGGACACCCACCAGGAACAGCUUUCUAGGCACUUUUUGACAUCUGUAAGUGUAUCCACACCGGUUCCAGCUGCCCAAGGGCAAGUCCUCCAGCAAAAAGUUGUAGGAGCUUAUUGUAAUGAGUGACAGCUCAUGGUGAGAGUCAAGCCUAGAAGAUGGACCUGGGCCUGAGGGGAUGUAGGUGAAGGACUGACAGCAUCUGCUAUGUCACCCACCCUGGGAUUGUGUAUCCUAAACCAAAAAUAGAGAAUGGCCUUUCUUGAGAUGAAUAAACAGGCAGAGUGUGAGCCUCAAGCUGUCAGGAGCCAGAUUCUCCACCAUGGGUACAAGAGCUUUCCAUGGUGGCUGAGGAUGACAUCAGCACACAGGGAAAAGUCAGCAGAAGAUAGAUUUUAAAAACUACACAGAGAGAAAAAAAACUACCUGUUGACUUGCUUCAGGAUCCCCUUGAAGCAGUCAGCUUUGCCACCUCUCCCUUGUUUUUGGUCAAUGUGAAUAUUCUCCUGCUUCCUUGUGUAUUUUGCAUCUGCUGUUUUAAUUUAGCUUUGUGACUUAUAACCACUUGACAAGGUCUUGACUCUAUAAAAUAGACUGCUUUUUUUUAUUAUGUAAUGAACCUAAUAGACCAUGUGAACCCGAUUCAGAGACAUUUGAAGGCAAAUUUUAUUUCCCUUUGAAGGUAAGAAUAGCUUGGUCUGUGUAUUUUCUAAAAGGGAUUUUGAAAAACCAGAGCUACCAUUCUCACCCAUUCCACCAACCACCUCUUGCAGUCUGUUUUUAUAAACUGUGUUUACAUCUUAAAGUUAAUUACAAAUUAUGAAGUUCAAAUUUCAGUGUUCAUAAAAAUACUUUUUAAUUUCAUGAAUAAAAUGUAUGUGGAAGAUUUUCUCUCUUUUAUCUGUACACUCACCUACACAAUAACCUUGACUUUGUCUUUUGGCCAACGUAAACUGAAAUAUUUAUAAUCUUGACCUUUUCCAAAGGUGUUUGCCAAUCCAAAUCCUUGAAAACAGUAAGAGAAUAAAACAGAUUUCUGAGGCAAAGAAUUGUCUUAUUAUUUCUAAUAAUCUUUCAUAAUAUUACAUGUAAAUUAUCUAAAAAUUAAAAAUUCCAUCUUGAUAGAAAUACAUAGGUAGCUGAACUGAAAAAGCAUGAAGACAUGCAGUAGGAAGUGUGGGUUAAUGGCAGUUACUGACAAUCACUAAGUGGACCACUAUAAUGAGUGUUUGAAAUCUGUUAAAACUGUUAUCUGCUUGCCUACCAAAGGGGAGGACUUGCAGAGGGAGGACUUGAUGAACUGAGGUUGCUUGGGACAGGUGAGAAAGAAACUGUGAACAUGAAAGGGCAAGGGCAGACUUGAGGGACCACUCAACCAUAAUGUGGAGGUAAUUAAUAUUGGUCUGCACCUUAAAGAUACAGCCAUCAAAAAGAGAGAAAGUGAUGUGUUUUAUUAACACACACUCCUUACACUCAUAUUUAAAAACAAUGGGGAUGUGAGAUUCGUCUGAGAGAAUUUCACAUCCCAGAAAUAUUUUUGGAACUUUCUCAUCUUUUGUGGAAGAUAAACUGGUGGUAGAAAUGUGUCUUUUUACUACCACAAACUGAAAUGUACAAUUCCCUCAGUUGCCUUCCUGUCAAUAUUAACUUUACAUUUUUCUUAACAUGUCAUCUUUCUGUGCUGACAGGAAGAAGAAAAAGAAACAUGCUAAUUGACUGAAAUAAAAGUGGAAUUUCCAAGGCUGACUAUCUACAUCGUUCCUUUGCUGGCUUUUCAUGGAUCUGGAUCAACCGUGUGUAUCUUCCUACCUCAAAGAUUCAGACUAGAAGUGGAUUUGCCUACUCCAAACCAAGUAGAGAAUCUCUCACACUUGUGCCUUCUAUUUCUGGGUUACAGUUCAUUCCAGAUCCAGUCAAGCUGACAACCAAGAAUAACCCAAACAUCUCAUACACAGCUAACCCAGAAGAUGGAAGAAAACUGGUAGUGCCAAUUGUCACUGAGUAAACACAGCAUUUCACUAGACUUGGUCCUUAGGUUGUCUUAUGUAUUUAAUCCAGCCAAGUUUCAAGCUGUUAUUGUUGUCAGAGAUAUAAAGGUGGUCCUUGCCUACAGUGAGCACACAGUGGAGCAGGUGGCCUCCUGUCUUUCAUCUCUGUAAGUCCAAUAGAAGUCAUCAAGACACUGACUUUAUUUUUAAAUGAAUAAGUUUUCAGCUCUAUGUAUUAAUAUUUGCCUUCUAGGAUGGAAAGUAAACACCUUAUGAAACACUAAUGAUUCAUCUCUUAGACAGAGAGUCUCCAGAAGAUUUUGUUUUGUCUGGGUUAGUCAAUAAAAAUGUCUGAAAAUUAUACACAAUUUGAUUUAGGUGUAGCAACUGGUUGUAAUAUUGAGAGAAUUCUGUGGGUAAAUUGAGAUAACACAGCCAUCACAAAAUAUUGAUUUCAUAAUUAUUGUUAUCCUUUAUGUGCUAAGCUCUCAGAAUGCAAAAGUGAGCAAGACUGUCAUGGAAGAUGUGAUCUAGUGAGAAGAAAAUUAUCAAGUGAAUAAAAUAAUUGCAAAGUAGGAUAAAUGUCAAGAAGGUACUUAAUGCUAUUAAUAAAUAUUAAUAGUAAUAAUGAAGGAAUACAGGAUUACCCCUUUGGGUGGGUUAGUUUCAUAAGGCCUUUCUGAAAAAAAAAUGAGAUCCAAAAGAUCUAGUCCUGGGCAAGGUAGGCUUGGCAGGCAGUCCUGGCUGAAUGAAAUGCAUGUGUCAAGACUCUGAAAGAAGCCUAACAUGUUUUGAAUCUUAUGAUCAAAAGCAAGGGAAACCAGAGAUGAGGGUAUAGCUUGGCCAAGGUGGAAUAGAACCUUCUGGAGUACAAGGCCAUGAGUAGAUAGGCAGAAGGGUUAUGAAUUCCUGGUUAAUAUUUUCAGAAGACAACUCCUUGUUCUGCUAACAUGUAAUGUGAGUGAGUAGCCACACUGAAAGAAGAAGAUGCCAAGAAACCACUGUGUGUCAAGUGAGCACUGUUGGGGGUCUUAUGGGAGGCUAAAAAGACACAAAGUGUAGAAGCAAGUGGUGUUUAGAUUAGAUGGAAGCCAGUUUGACUUUAUAAGCAUAUUGAUUUGGGGUUUUAUUAUGCUUGGAACUUCUUAACCUGUUUAAUUACUUCAUGUCAUUAAAAAGAGAUGACACAUUCUUUUUGAA